rnacentral:rRNA from 1 species
UACGAAGGGGGCUAGCGUUGCUCGGAAUUACUGGGCGUAAAGGGUGCGUAGGCGGGAGAGUAAGUCCGCGGUGAAAUCUCACGGCUCAACCGUGAAACUGCCGUUGAUACUGCUUUUCUUGAGUUCGGGAGAGGUUGAUGGAAUUCCAGGUGUAGCGGUGAAAUGCGUAGAUAUGCGGAGGAACACCGAUGGCGAAGGCAAUCCCCUGGGCCUGCACUGACGCUCAUGCACGAAAGCGUGGGGAGCAAACAGG